rnacentral:rRNA from 1 species
UGCCAGCAGCCGCGGUAAUACGGAGGGAUCUAGCGUUAUUCGGAAUUACUGGGCGUAAAGCGCGCGUAGGCGGUUACGUAAGUCUGAUGUGAAAGCCCGGGGCUUAACCUCGGAAGUGCAUCGGAAACUGCGUAACUUGAGUCUCGGAGAGGGUGGUGGAAUUCCAGGUGUAGAGGUGAAAUUCGUAGAUAUCUGGAGGAACAUCGGUGGCGAAGGCGACCACCUGGACGAUGACUGACGCUGAGGUGCGAAAGCGUGGGUAGCAAACAGGAUUAGAUA